AUCAGCAACGACUAUAUCGGUGAC
rnacentral:siRNA from 1 species